UUACGUUGUACAUUGUGUAUAUUAUUAUACUCAAGCAAUGAAAAUAAUCACGAAAUUAUCUUCUUCCAUGGUAUCAUAUAACAGGGUUUCUUUCUUCUCUCAAUAUUCUUCUCUUCCGCUGCCCUACUACGUCUCUGUUCUUCAACCUUUUUCCGUCAUUUCUCUUUCGUUCUCCAUCGAGUUAUUCAUGGCUGACACAAAGUUUCACCCUGCUUUGGUUGUCUCCAACAUCAAGAAUCACAUUCCUAUCAUUCUUGAGAUGGAAACUAAUCAUUGUUCGGCUUGGGAUGAAUGGUUCAAGUUGCACACCCGCUCCCAUGAUCACCGUGUUCUUGCUCACAUUCUACCUACAGGGAAGGAGACACCACCUUCGACGGAUGACGAAAAAGAAUUAUGGUCCACUUCGGAUGCCACCGUGCUUCAAUGGAUUUAUGCAACUAUAACCACUGACUUGUUGCAUACGAUCAUCAAUGAGGACAUCUCGGCGAAGUAGGCCUGAGAUCGGUUGCGUAAUAUUUUCCAGGACAACAAGAAUUCCUGAGAGGUGGCUCUUGAACAUGAUUUCUCUCAUGUGAAGAUGAGAGAUUUUUCGACCGCCUCUACCUAUUGUCAACGUUUGAAGACCUUGGCUGACCAACUUAAGAGUGUCGGUGCUCCGGUAACUGACAACCACCUGGUGCUUCAAUUGGUGGCUGGCCUCACAGAGGCAUACAAGUUUGUCGUCAAAUCCGGCAAAGCAAACCCCUACCUCCCUUUUUCGAGGCUUGUUCGAGUCUGUGUUUAGAAGAGAAAGCAUGGGCUGAAAUGUAGAGGACUCGCCGGCAGCCAUGGUGGUCGCAUCUCACAGGGAUUCCAAGGACUCUGCCUCCAACGGUGAAUAUUCAGGCCACAAAAACAACAAUCGGGGCGGUGGCAAAAAUAAAAACCACUGCCACGGUAAUAAGAAUGUGGGUGGUCGUGGCUCUGGUAAUGGCGGCAACAAUAACCGCCAUGGAGGUGAACGGGGUCUGCCGACACUCAGCCACAAGUGCCGGCGCAGCAGCAGUGGGGUGGUCAUGGUGGUCAUCCGCCGCAACAAUGGGGAUGGUAGUGGGUUCCUCCCCCUUGCCCAUAUCCCACUUAUCCGUGGACUCGCCCAACAAGUGGGCCUCAAAGAACAACCCACGUCCACCCCAGGCUUAUACAGCAGUAGCCCCACAGGGCCAAUACAUGCCCACUGGUCUGUACAUGCCCAUAGAUAUUGAAUCACCAUUGCAUGCACACAAUGAUCUUGACCCCACCGGACCCUAAUUGGUACAUGGACACCGACGUGACGUCUCACAUGACCUCUACAAACGGACUCUCACACGUGAUGUUUAAUGGGUCAGAUCUUAACACUUCCCGUGAGGUCCCUUUUCAAAAUGGCUCACAUGUGAUGUUUCACGGGUCAUAGUUUCUUUAUCACUCUCUAGCUCCCUCACAUGGAUCCCGUUCAGUUGGCCCAGAAAACAGUACACAAUAAGGUCCCAGCUGUUGGCUCUGAUACCAUGAUAAAUACGAGUCUGUGCCGCACUCGUCACCAAGAGAGAGAGUCCACUUAACAAGAUCGUAGGAGGUUCCACCUUAAAAUCAUAUGGCAAUAAGGGGAGUAGCCCCUUGGGCUUAUUAAGUGAUUAAGUCUCUUCUCUUUUGUCAAUGUGAGACUCUCACACGUGAUGUUUCAUGGGUCAGAUAUUAACAAGUUGAUUUUGGCACCUCCUUUGCGAGAGAAUAAAAAGUUACGCUCUACUCACAUGAGGUGUGCCAAAAUCACUUUCCCUUUGGUUAUGUCUUUCGUACAUUCUUUUA